rnacentral:rRNA from 1 species
UACAGAGGUCCCAAGCGUUGUUCGGAUUUACUGGGCGUAAAGGGUGCGUAGGCGGUCGAGUAAGUCUGACGUGAAAUCUCCAAGCUCAACUUGGAAAUGGCGUCGGAUACUAUUCGGCUUGAGGAGUGGAGGGGAGACUGGAAUUCUCGGUGUAGCAGUGAAAUGCGUAGAUAUCGAGAGGAACACCAGUGGCGAAGGCGAGUCUCUGGACACUUCCUGACGUUGAGGCACGAAAGCCAGGGGAGCAAACGGG